CCCGAGUGCCCCUCCCCUCUGGGUGCUGCCCCCUCCACCUCAGCAUGUCUCCAGUCACCGGCUUGUCACCACCCCCCACUCCCAGGCUGCCUGGUUUGGGAAAGGUGGAUCCCACUCAGGUUCCAGGAAUAGCACCCAGCCAGGCCUGGAACCUUUGGUCACUCUGGCUCAGGCGGGGGCAGUGUGACCCAAAGCCGGCCACUGUCAGUGAGUUCCCAGGAGGCAGGGACCAGGGAACGGGUGACAAGGAGGGGCCUCGGGAGCCACCAGCCUCCAGAAGGAACACCACCACCAUGGGCCAGGGAGAGGGAGGCUCAGGGCCCGGCAGACCCCCUGAACUGGAGGUAGCCCAGAAGCUGGAAGCCAGAGCCCCUCUCGAAGCUACAAGACAAAACGAUCCAGUUGUGAACAAUGAAAAAAGCAGCAGUUCAAGAAACCAGCCCAGGCCCAGGCUAGCGCUGUCCACCCCCAGUCCUCAGGGGGUCACGGUAAAAAUCCAGGUUCUUAUUCCUGUUCUCCUGGACCCCUCCAGCCCUCCGACAUCUGGACAAAUCUUUGGGGAUGGCCUUCUUUUCACCUGAACCAUUUGGCCUUGAGUUUCUGUCUCUUCUAAGGAAAAGGAUUUGGACAAAGACAAAAGGUCCCAGGAAAAGCCUCGGCAUCCCCGGUGGGAGGUGGGCUCCCUGGGGAAGGCAGUUGAAAGAGUAAAUGGUCCAAAAAGAAAUUUGCCUCCAUGAAAGAUGAAGGGACUUUUUGGACCCGGUUGGGCCCCUGAAGAGCCUGAGAGUUUCCAGACUUCUAGGAUUCACCCAAGUGUGGGAAGCAUGAAGCAUCUCCUACCUGGCCGAGAACUGACCUCACCGCAGCUUUUCGUAACACCCUGGAAGCUCACCUGAGCUUCAGCUGCUAUAAACUGGAGCACAGCCUGCCCCAAGCACAUUUUUUUUUGUUGAAAGAUUUAUUUUUUAUUUAUUUCUCCCCUUCUGCUCUCUGUGUCCAUUCGCUGUGUGUUCCUCUGCGUCCACUUACAUUCUUGUCAGCGGCACCGGGAAUCUGUGUCUCUUUUUGUUGCAUCAUCUUGCUGCAUCAGCUCUCCGUG
rnacentral:lncRNA from 1 species